AUGGCAUCCUUCCACCGGCCCCUCUCCGCCAUGGCGGUGGCCGCCUUCGCCGCCGUCUCCUCCAUCGAGCUGCCCGACAAAUUCUCCCACCACCACAGGCUCCCCGAAGACGUACUCUCGCUCCCUGCCAACAAACCAGAGGCCACCACAGCUCCUUCAGCCCCGCCGCUGUCCGGUCUGCAGUUCUUCCCACGGAACCUCCAGGCCUUCUACCCGGCUAAGGCGCCCGUCGCGUCCCUGCCGGUCAUCCAGACCGUCUACCAGUACGCCAAGUUCGCCAAGACCUCACCGGAACAAGAGGCGGCGUUACCGGCCAUCCCUUCCUCCUCCUCGGAUGUUCUGUACCGCUGGCACCUGCCGGACCCGAGGGCGUGCGGCGGCUCGCCUGACAGGUCCCAGACGGUGGUGGUUUUGCUCGGCUGGCUGGGCUCGAAGCAGAAGCAUCUGAAGAGAUAUGCCGAUUGGUACACCUCCAGGGGGUUCCACGCCGUCACCUUCACCCUCCCCAUGUCCGACAUUGUCAGCUACAAUGUCGGAGGGAAGGCUGAGAAGAAUGUGGAGAUGCUCUCGGAACAUCUUGGUGAUUGGGUCAGGGAGGAGGAUGGGAAGAAGAUUGUUUUCCACACUUUCAGUAACACUGGCUGGCUUUGCUAUGGUGUGAUACUGGAGAACCUGCAGCGGCAGGAUCCUUCAGCAGUGGAGAAAAUCAAGGGUUCCAUAAUCGAUUCAGCGCCUGUUGCUGUCCCGGACUCUCAAGUGUGGGCUCUAGGUUUCUCAGCUGCUAUCAUGAAGAAACACAGUGUGGCGACGAAAGGAGCUGCACCAAAUACAAGGUCUGACGUCGUAGUUGUGGAGUCUCAGAAAGAUAUCAGACCAGCAGCUACCGAGGCGGUUCUACUAUCUGCAUUGGAGAAGUUUUUUGAUCUUGUUCUGAACUAUCCGGCCGUAAAUAGGAGGCUGUCUGGUGUUAUGGAGCUUCUGUCCUCAAACCAACCAAACUGCCCUCAGCUGUACAUAUACAGCUCUGCCGACCGGGUCAUCCCGGCAAAGUCAGUGGAGUCAUUUGUGGAGAGGCAACGAAAAGCAGGGUGUGAGGUGAGGUCGUGUGACUUUGUGUCGUCCCCUCACGUUGACCAUUACCGCAGCAAUCCGGGGCUCUACACCUCUCAGCUGACCAACUUCUUGGAGGACUGUGUGCUGGCCCGCCGUGAUGAUUUGUCGUCACCGUCACCGUCUGCAUAG
rnacentral:rRNA from 1 species